GGGUGCAAGCGUUUACUCGGAAUACUGGGCGUAAAGCGUGCGUAGGUGGUCGUUUAAGUCCGUUGUGAAAGCCCUGGGCUCAACCUGGGAACUGCAGUGGAUACUGGGCGACUAGAGUGUGGUAGAGGGUAGCGGAAUUCCUGGUGUAGCAGUGAAAUGCGUAGAGAUCAGGAGGAACAUCCAUGGCGAAGGCAGCUACCUGGACCAACACUGACACUGAGGCACGAAAGCGUGGGGAGCAAACAGGA
rnacentral:rRNA from 1 species